UACGUAGGGGGCUAGCGUUGUCCGGAAUUAUUGGGCGUAAAGAGCUCGUAGGCGGUUUGUCGCGUCUGCCGUGAAAGUCCGGGGCUCAACUCCGGAUCUGCGGUGGGUACGGGCAGACUAGAGUGAUGUAGGGGAGACUGGAAUUCCUGGUGUAGCGGUGAAAUGCGUAGAUAUCUGGAGGAAUACCGGUGGCGAAGGCGGCAUCCUGGACCGGCAUUGACGCUGAGGAGCGAAAGCCAGGGGAGCAAACGGG
rnacentral:rRNA from 1 species